rnacentral:rRNA from 1 species
ACGUGUGCAAACCUUGCUUAUCAGGGGGAUAGCCUUUCGAAAGGAAGAUUAACACCCACUAAUAUAUUAAGUGGCAUCAUUUAAUAUUGAAAACUCCGGUGGAUAGAGAUGGGCACGCGCAAGAUUAGAUAGUUGGUAGGGUAACGGCCUACCAAGUCUACGAUCUUUAGGGGGCCGUGAGAGGGUGAUCCCCCACACUGGUACUGAGACACGGACCAGACUCCUACGGGAGGCAGCAGUGAGGAAUAUUGGACAAUGGGUGCAAGCCUGAUCCAGCCAUCCCGCGUGAAGGAUGACGGCCCUAUGGGUUGUAAACUUCUUUUGUAUAGGGAUAAACCUUUCCUCGUGAGGAAAGCUGAAGGUACUAUACGAAUAAGCACCGGCUAACUCCGUG